rnacentral:rRNA from 1 species
AGCGAACGCUGGCGGUAGGCCUAACACAUGCAAGUCGAACGGCAGCACACUAAAAGCUUGCGCUUCCGGGGGGGGGAUGGCGGGAGGGUGAGGAAAAUAUCGGGCUCUUCUUUUUCGGGGGGGUUCACGAAGGGAAACUUACUCCCAUACCGCAUACCACCUACGGGGGUAAGGAGGGGAACUUUGCGCCUUGCGCGGUUGAAUUCGCGGCUGUCGGAUUAGCUAGUGGGGGGGGUAAAGGCCCACCAAGGCGACGAUCCGUAGCUGGACUGAGAGGAUGAUCAGCCACACUGGAACUGAGACACGGUCCAGACUCCUACGGGAGGGAGCAGUGGGGAAUAUUGGACAAUGGGCGCAAGCCUGAUCCAGCCAUACCGCGUGUGUGAAGAAGGCCUUCGGGUUGUAAAGCCCUUUUGUUGGGAAAGAAAAGCAGCAGGUUAAUACCCCGCUGUUCUGACGGUACCCAAAGAAUAAGCACCGGCUAACUUCGUG